rnacentral:lncRNA from 1 species
UUUUCUUUUUUAACUUGUUUAAAAGAGUGUUUACUCUGUGUGUCUGUGUGAACAUGUAUGGUGUUGUUAAUACACUAACCAAAGCCUCAACGCUCCCAGAUAACACGUUAAUAAAUCUUGCUGAUCUGGUGCUUACCUGACUGGUUUUCACCCCGAUGGCUUGAUCUACUUAAAAAAUUGCUAAGAAACAAGGUCUGAUCGGCAGUGCAGUAUAGGAUGAAAUGGACAGGAGUAGUGAGAAAUUGAUUCAGCGUCCUGAGUCUGUGGUAAUUAUGAAGACAAGUCUCAAGCUCAUGUCCUGAGAGCACCUGACCUCGGCGAGGUUGGAGGUCUCUGUGUAAAUCAGUGAGCCCAGAGCUGUGUGAGGACAUGGUCUGACCUGGCUGUUCCCUGAGUGGCAGGUCCCCUCUUCCUUCUCCUUGCAGUGGCACAGCUUCUCCUGUGAGCAUGCUCCUGGGCAUCCACAAAGGGUUGCAUUUUAAGAACCUAAUGGGAAAACCACCCGCUGCUCCUAGGAGAGAGGGCUGGGUAACCUGGUCCAUCCCAUGAGGGCUGGGAUGGGGCCCUCUGAAGGUACCACCUGUAUUAGCUGCUGAAAGUUCCAGUGCUGAAUGCAGAGUUAUCCUUUCUUACGCAUAAAAAGAGGAGUUGAAAACUUUGCUGUGUCACAGCUUUUGCUGCUGUUGCCUGAACUGGCCCAAGAAGAGGUGAGGUGUGUGCUUAGUCACCUCUUUUGUAGCUACGGUACAGAAAGUGAUCGGUGCAAUUUGAAAAACCAUGGGGUUUUGGAAGCCAAAGCCAAACAGCAUUACCAGGAGAUCAUCCUAAUGAAGCCUCAUGUCCCCUGCUCCUGGUCAGUCCUGCAGUUCCCCUUGGUGUACCAGGUUCCACCUUCUGUCAAACUUACAUGGAGCACCUUGGCAAAAAGACACUUUCUAUUAAAUUCUAAUAAUAAACCAGGUAGAUACACCAAGACUUAUUCCUUGCUCUGCUAACAAGUGCUUAAACACCUUCUCAAAUAAGCUUGCGAAACAUGUCAGGGAGGAACGAGAUGUUGGAAAAGCUGAGUGUGAUGAGUGAGAAUGUGUUCCCCAGCGCAGGGUCGGACACGUGGUACCUGAGUGAAGCAUUCAGCAAGACAAGAACUUGGCCUCUGUAGAUAACCCUCAGACAGGCAGGAGGUAGAAGUUGUGUGUGGUGUGUCUGAUGAACGAGCUGUGCAUAUAACCAUCCAAAUACGCUGCUUUCCUGCUUCGUUUCCCCAUUCCCUUCUGUCGGCUUGGCUGUCUCCCGCUCCUCAUCCAUGCUGGGGUGACAGCAUCAAAGCUGGUUCCAGCCCCUGCAGCUCCUCUCUGCUCCUUCAUCCAGCCACUGCAUUCCUGCCCCGUGCCUCAUUUCAGUGUUACUUUUCCCUUUGUCUCUUACUGUUGCAAACUAAGAGAAACGGAUGAUAUUUAUUGUAAAUAUUAGACUUUAGCAUUGUAACGGCCACUCCUGGGUCCGGACGUCAGAGGCCUUUGGCUGCUAAUAUACUAAAGAGCGCUUGCUGGAAAAGGGGUAGGAGUGACCAGUGGUUUUGGUUGCCACACUUGCAUUAAGGUGUGAUUUGGAGUAUUUUAACUAUUAUAAUUUCUUUCUUCGGAAGAGGGGAGGAUAAAGUCUUUCUCUGGUUUUCUCUUACUGGAUGUGAAGGAUAAUUCUGUACUUCUAGUAGAAGAUUGGACAGAAGUGUGUGUUUCCCUUGUGUUCGAUUACCAUAUCCAGGUGGCUGGGAGAGCACCUCCUGAGCUGGGCUCCGCCAAGCUGUGUCACUCAGCACUUAGCUAGAUAAGAGGAAGUGUGGAAUUUCUGUGUUUUUAGAAACUUGAACAAUUGCCACAUAAUAGCGGUGCAAUAAUUUUUAUUCAUGUUGUACCUGCAUGUCGGUGUUCGAAUCCUCCUCCAAAAUAAAUAAUUUUGUUUUGUUUUGUUUUUUUACAUAAAUGCA